ACUCUUCUGAAUUCUGACUCAGAAAGGCUGAGUGAAGUUAGAAUUUAAAAUCAAAAGGUAGAAAGAUGGAGCAAUUACAGUCUGUGAACAAACUCUUCAAUGGAGGGUGAAGAGCGGGAGAAUGUGCAGUGACAUUGUGAGCUUCAAAUCAGCUCUCUAGGGCCCAGCACAGAAUGUCAGGGAGGGGACCUCUGAACAGGUCUAUACCACCUUCGUUCGCUCAAACUACAGAUCCUUAUGAAGUCUAGCAAAGGAGACUAAAGAAGAGUGACCACAGGGAGUUCCCAAUUCCUCACAUGUUUCAUAAAAUGUCAUAUAUGGGGAUGAAGAGAUGGCUCAGCUGUUGAGAGUAAAAACUGCUCUUGCAGGGGACCUGGGAUCAGUUCCUGGCUCACAAUCUUUACCCUCUGCUACAUCAGUUCCAGAGGAUACAACACCUUGUCAGGUAUCUGAGGUUUUGCAAGGGCUGACCACUCUGCACUGGACAGCCAAUAAACCUCUUUCUAGCAAAUGGAAACCAUCACAGAAAACUACAACUGGACCCAAUGCAGAGAUGCACAGAUAGUGGAGAGCCCAACCCCAGCUCAGCACAGUGACCAACCAAGCCAAAUAUCUUCUUGAACUGGUACAUGAUGAAUGAAGAAUGUACGCUGAGAGCUCGUUGGAAGGAGAAAUGAAGAGAGAGGCCAGUUUUAGGCCAGCGUUUUCUGGAGCUGAGGAGGUCGAGUGCUGUUCGUCCUUUGGAUACCAAUUUAUCAUCAGCUGCAUGGCUUGAAUGUGUUUGUUCCCAUUAUAUAAACUAUCUCUUUACUGUG
ensembl:lincRNA 4933428C19Rik RIKEN cDNA 4933428C19 gene